CCUACGGGAGGCAGCAGUGAGGAAUAUUGGUCAAUGGACGAGAGUCUGAACCAGCCAAGUAGCGUGAAGGAUGACUGCCCUAUGGGUUGUAAACUUCUUUUAUAUGGGAAUAAAACGUUCCACGUGUGGGAUUUUGUAUGUACCAUAUGCAUAAGGAUCGGCUAACUCCGUGCCAGCAGCCGCGGUAAUACGGAGGAUCCGAGCGUUAUCCGGAUUUAUUGGGUUUAAAGGGAGCGUAGGUGGAUUGUUAAGUCAGUUGUGAAAGUUUGCGGCUCAACCGUAGAAUUGCAGUUGAAACUGGCAGUCUUGAGUACAGUAGAGGUGGGCGGAAUGCGUGGUGUAGCGGUGAAAUGCUUAGAUAUCACGAAGAACUCCGAUUGCGAAGGCAGUUCACUGGACUGCAACUGACACUGAGGCUCGAAAGUGUGGGUAUCAAACAGGAUUAGAUACCCCUGUAGUC
rnacentral:rRNA from 1 species